UUCUCAUGAUGCUCGAUCAGUAUGCAGGAACACCAUCUACAAGAUGACACGUAAAUGUUGAUAUUCCCAGGAUGAAAGCAAUGUUGGACAGAGUCAGAAACCAACCAUACGAAUUGAAGUACUCAAUCCCGGACAAACUCCGUGGGAGAAAGUGGAGACAACCAUCAGUUCCCUAGAAGGAAUAGACCCUGCUAACACUCUG